UACAAGGUGCUGCAUGGUUGUCGUCAGCUCGUGCCGUGAGGUGUCGGGUUAAGUCCCAUAACGAGCGCAACCCUAUCAUUAGUUGCCAUCAGGUCAAGCUGGGGACUCUAAUGAAACUGCCUACGCAAGUAGUGAGGAAGGUGGGGAUGACGUCAAGUCAUCAUGGCCCUUACGGCCUGGGCUACACACGUGCUACAAUGGUCGGUACAAAGGGUUGCCAAGCCGCGAGGUGGAGCUAAUCCCAUAAAACCGAUCGUAGUCCGAAUCGCAGUCUGCAACUCGACUGCGUGAAGUCGGAAUCGCUAGUAAUCGUGAAUCAGAAUGUCACGGUGAAUACGUUCCCGGGCCUU
rnacentral:rRNA from 1 species